rnacentral:rRNA from 1 species
AUUGAACGCUGGCGGCAGGCUUAACACAUGCAAGUCGAGCGAGCGGCGGACGGGUGAGUAUUGUCUGGGAAACUGCCUGAUGGAGGGGGAUAACUACUGGAACCGGUACCUAAUACCGCAUACCACCAGAUGUCCCCAACUGGGAUAGCUAGUAGGUGGGGUAAUGGCUCCCCUAGGCGACGAUCCCUAGCUGGUCUGAGAGGAUGACCAGCCACACUGGAACUGAGACACGGUCCAGACUCCUACGGGAGGCAGCAGUAGGGAAUAUUGCACAAUGGGCGCAAGCCUGAUGGAGCCACGCCGCGUGUGUGAAGAAGGCUUUCGGAUUGUAAAGCACUUUCAGCGAGGAGGCGUUACUCGCAGAAGAAGCACCGGCUAACUCCGUGCCAGCAGCCGCGGUAAUUC